ensembl:lncRNA
AGAGAUCCUGGAGACUUGGCUCCAAGGCAGGCAAGUUGUUUGCGAGACAGAAUUUCACCAGGAUAUCAACUAGCACUUUGUCAGAAGGGUUCUGAAACAGGUUCCCUGAGCUGGAGGACCAUGACUACAGUAACAACCAAUUCCCAGCCAACCACAAACUCGUGUGGGAUUUGCUGUUCCACCUAGAUGCAUAUUCAACAUGAAAAGAAGAGCUAUACUGUGUCAUACUGAUGUCCCAUAACUCUGGCAUCUAACUAGUCAUCUGGGAGUUCUCCAUUCCCCCUAACAGUGAGAGACUGACAUAAUACCUGGAAUGCAGCUCUGCCCUGUCUGUCCUUUCCUCUCCUCGUCCCUCCACAACCUCAGAAAAGGGAGACGAAAAACAAACAAAGUUGAGGAUGGGCAGAAAUAUGGAGUGGCUUCCAGACAAUGAGGGAUUCAACAAGUCAGAAUUCAUCUGAGGCAAGAUGACUGUGAGAAGGUGUGAUGGAAACCAAUAAACUAAUGAAUGCUGUGC